AGACCUUAAUGACAGACUUUCCUGGGUCUCGGUUGCUGUGAAGAGGUUACUUGAGGCGGGGAGUAGUAUAUUUACUACAGAACUGUGAAGCCAACUAUGCAGCGAUGACUGUGCCCACAGAUGGAAGUUUAUGAGGAUGUUAUUAAUAUACGUCGAAAAUUUGGCUGCAGAAAGAAAAUUAGACUUCAGAAAUCUGUUCUGCAAUAUCACCAGCAAUUAAAACACGCUCCUGUCAAGGGGCACGAUUCUUGAACGUUGGCUGUGUUUGAUGAGACACUAACAUCUUUUCGAUAGCAAAGCUUCCUGCCUUUAGUUCCAGAGGGUAGCUUUGCAAACCACAUUGAGAGGUCAAAUGCAUAAGGUUCACUCAUGUGGUUCAGCAAUGUGAUCUAAUUUGGAAUCCUUAGGGUUUAAGUGAAGAGAGGAACAAUUAGAUUUAUGUUCCCUGUUGAACUCAAGAUGUGGUAUCCGGGCAACUCAAGCUGAACGCACCCAAGAUAGCGAACCUACCCACCUACUUGGUAAACUCUGCACAGGUGGUGGAAAUAAUACCUGGAUAAAUAUCACUGGUCACUUAGGACAUUUUCUUUAUAUCAACAUUUGCUGUGGGAGGUUCUCACGUCUCCUGGCUUUUGCCAAGCAAACAGUGUACUUCAGACAAGAAGCAGGAAACAAAGGUUUGUCAGAAGGUGCUGGGAAUCAUUGGCCUUAUCAGUGAUGUGCCCAGCCAGGUUAUUCGACUGAUCGCCAGCUCCAGUUUGUGUGAGAUGCUGUCUUGAAUUAGGAUACCUGUCCAAGAAGCACAUAAUAUUUAAAAGCGCUGACUUUAUGUUUGUUUAAAGGGGAGCAUCUUUGUAAUGUUUCAUUCCUCAUUGAUGUUUGGUGUCAAUGAGUCUUUCAAAAUGUGCUUAGUAUAGAAGUAAGAGCUCCACUUCCAUUGCCUUGUUCUAAAUAAAAAGGGGAAAGAAAGCCCCGCAAAAAUCCAAAAAGCCUCAAACGUAGCUUUUCCUCCCCUUGUAGGGAAAUCACAGGAUCAGUUCAUGUUAAUCUUGAUGUUAAUCCUUUUGUUGAAUUUCACUUUUACAAUAAUUUUUUUUUUUUUUUUUUGAGACAGUCUUGCUCUGUCACCCAGGCUGGAGUUCAGUGGCUCGAUCUUGGCUCACUGCGACCUCCACCUCCUGGGCUCAGGUGAUUGUCCUGCCUCAGCCUCCUGAAUAGCUGGAAUUACAGGCAUGCGCCAGCACACCCGGCUAAUUUUUGUAUUUUUAGUAGAGACAGGGUUUUACCAUGUUGGCCAGGCUGGUCUUGAACUCCUGACCUCAGGUGAUCCACUUACCUGAGCCUCCCAAAGUGCUGGGAUUACAAGCGUGAGCCACAGUGCCUGGCCAACUUUUGCUAUCAUUUUUAAAUAAUAAUUUUUGUUAUUUUUUUCAGAAUGUUGGAGCUGAGAUCGGGAGAAUUUAUUAUUUUCAGUGAAUGCUGGUGAGCAGGUGGGUGUCCUGUUAGACACUGGAAGCCUGGUGUUCCCUAGGCAGGCAGAUGCUGCACUAACUCUUGGAGGCAGGCCCCAGUCACCUCUGUAUUCCCCAGGGCCUGGCACAUAAACUGUUAUCAGUGGAUGCUGGCUGCAUUGCUGUUGAAAACUUGCAGCUGGACGAUGUUGGACUUUGGAGAAGAUAUAUCUGAUUUUGAAUCCUGGUUCUGCCACUCACUCAUCUGAGUCCUUGAGCAAACCAGUUAACCUCUCAGCCUCGUUUUUGGUUUUUUUUUUUCACAUGUAAAAUGAAAAAUAAUAGGACCCACCACAUAGAGUUGGAAAAAUUAAAUGAGAUGAUAUUUAGUGCUUUCUGUGGAACCUGAGGUACGUUUACUUGUAGAUUGCCUGUGUCCCCAAUUAGAGUGUAAGCCCCAUGUGCACAAGGAUUUGUCUUAUUCACUGCUGUAUCCCAAUGCCUGGCACAGAGCAGGUGCUCAAUAACUAUUUGUCAGAUUAAUGAAUACAAAUGUAUUACCAAUUUUUCUAUGAUAUUACUGUAAAAAGAGAACAGUGUAAAGAUUGGGAGAAUGAAGACAUGAGACAAUUAUAUUGGAAAAAAAUAAAAUUAUUGGAGAGAUA